rnacentral:rRNA from 1 species
UACGUAGGUGGCAAGCGUUAUCCGGAAUUAUUGGGCGUAAAGAGCGCGCAGGUGGUUAAUUAAGUCUGAUGUGAAAGCCCACGGCUUAACCGUGGAGGGUCAUUGGAAACUGGUUGACUUGAGUGCAGAAGAGGGAAGUGGAAUUCCAUGUGUAGCGGUGAAAUGCGUAGAGAUAUGGAGGAACACCGGUGGCGAAAGCGGCUCUCUGGCCUGUAACUGACACUGAGGCUCGAAAGCGUGGGGAGCAAACAGG